UACAGAGGGGGCAAGCGUUGUUCGGAAUUACUGGGCGUAAAGGGCGCGUAGGCGGGUCGUUAAGUCAGGGGUGAAAUCCCAGAGCUCAACUCUGGAACUGCCUUUGAUACUGGCGACCUAGAGUUCGGAAGAGGUUAGUGGAAUUCCCAGUGUAGAGGUGAAAUUCGUAGAUAUUGGGAAGAACACCAGUGGCGAAGGCGGCUAACUGGUCCGAUACUGACGCUGAGGUGCGAAAGCGUGGGGAGCAAACAGG
rnacentral:rRNA from 1 species